rnacentral:rRNA from 1 species
AUUGAACGCUGGCGGCAGGCUUACCACAUGCAAGUCGAACGAGUGGCGGACGGGUGAGUAAUGCUUGGGAAUCUAGCUUAGGGAGGGGGAUAACUACGGGAAACUGUAGCUAAUAUCGCGUACCAUAGGAUGAGCCCAAGGGGGAUUAGGUAGUUGGUGAGGUAAAGGCUCACCAAGCCGACGGACUCUAGCUGGUCUGAGAGGAUGACCAGCCACACUGGGACUGAGACACGGCCCAGACUCCUACGGGAGGCAGCAGUGGGGAAGCUUGCGCAAUGGGGGCAACUCUGACGCAGCCAUCCCGCGUGUGCGAUGAAGGCCUUCGGGUUGUAAAGCACUUUUGGCAGGAAAGCGGUACCUGCAGAAUAAGCACCGGCUAACUACGUGCCAGCAGCCGCGGUAAUUC